CAAGAUUUGAGGAACAAAUUCAAGACCUUCAGCUUGGGAGACAGCCACUAUAUGAACUGGUGAAUAGUGUGAAGAUCCAUGCUGAAAUUAUUCGUGGAAGUGUGCAUGCUUUGAUGAAAAACAACAACGACAAAGUCGAGGAAGAAUGUUAUCACUUCUUGCAACUUUGGUCGAGCAUUGGCUGCAGUUGGAUGCAACUUUUACCCUCCCUCACUCUGUAAGACUUUGCGAGGACAAUACAAUGUUAACAAUGGAAUCAAGGCUGUAGACUAGGGGAUCCUUCAUGAACCUGUUGCUCUUGCAGAGUACACAAACAUCAUUGGCCAGCCUGAAUCUCCAGCAGGACUUGGACUCUCUCCAAGUGGUGUUCUUGGAGCUUCACCGGAUGGAAUUGUUGAGGUCAAGUCCCCCUGGUCAGCCAGAAAUGAAACACCCACCCCAGCAAGCGGCUCAGAAUAAGGACUUUUAUUUAACCAUAGAUGAGGUUACUGGCUCAUUGAAGCUCAAAAGGGACCAAAUACAGGCUCAUCGGUACUUGGGGGGUUUACAAGUGUGACUUUGUGGUGGGGACCGUUCAGGGCGUAGAAAUCAUUUCUGUGACAGGGGAUCCAUCCUGGGUUUGCAACCUGAAUGUACAUACAGUAAAAGAUUUUACAAAAUUGUUUUCCUGCCAAAUGUUUUAGAAGAAUAUUACAAAUGUCAGUCUUGAUAGGUUUUAAGAUUCAUAUGCUGAAUAUAUGUAUGUACCAGUUCUUUGUUUUUUUUUUUUUUAUUGUUCUUUAUUUGUGCAAUCACACCUGAUACUAUAAACCCAAAAAGUCAGUUGUACACUACAUCUUUCACGAUGGAUGAAUUUGUUGACAUGAUCUAAAAAGAAAUCUUUGAAUUCAGAAAAUUAGCAUUUUUUUUGUCCCCCAUGAAAUCAGCACUAAUACAAGUAUAUGAAGUAUUUCUGGGUUCACAGUAGAUCGUCAUCAACAAAAAAUACACUCACCCUCGACAUUAAUCAACCCAUCAUUCCAUGCGUGAAUAAACCCAGGCACCAACAUUAAAUCCUCUCAUAUGUGCCAAGGAUAUCAUAAAUUUACUGUGUAUAAGUUUGUGAACAAUAUUAGAACCAUCUUACUAGCUACCAAAAACAAAAGGAUCUUUG